UUUAAAAGCUAUUUUUGGAUUUUGGAUAGAACGAAAAUUAACUUUUUGAAAAAGUUAAAAAAAACCUAACUUUUUACAAGUUUUUCAAAAAUGAUUUUUGCCUCUAAAAAAAAACUAAGCCAAAACGUCCACUUAAAAGGAAUUAGGCUUCACCCCGUUUCUUUUGUUCUGAUCUGGCAUCUAAAGCAAAGGGGAUACGAAUGCCAUAGCAUGAUAGCAGUGGACGAAGACUCGAGUAGUCGAUUGGUGAAGGGGAACUAACGAAGAUGGCGAGAAGGAAAACACGAAGCGACGGGUGCUGCAUCCGAAGGUUUUGGGUCGAUUGCUCGCAAGGGAGUGUUUACGGGGAUCGACGAACCGAAGAAGAGAAGGGAAAGGAGCAGCGGGGCUGCACUCUUGCUUCUCCGUCGGUAGGGUCCGAUGGGGAGGGUCAGAUGAGGCCGAAGAGAAGGAAAGGGGAAAACAGCGAAGUCUUCCUCGUCUCUUCCGGCUGCGAGAUGUGAGGUACGACUUCGCAAGUAGUGGUAGCAGCAAGGCGAAAAGCGUCGGACCCUUGUGGUCGAUGGGAACUGCAGAUAAGGGAGCGAGGUGCGAGGAGGUGGUUCGGUAGGAGGAACUGACGACAGUAGCAGCUCGAGUGGGGCGUUUGGUUGGUUCUUCUUCAAUAGAAAAAUGAACGGGAUCAGUAACAGGAAAGGAAGAUAGAUCAACACAAUGAUCUGAGGGGUGUUUUGUUGCUUGAGAUUGACAGGAAGAAGAUGAAGAACAACUGUGUAUGGAUUUGAUGUUUCACUUGACAGUUUCAAAAGGAAACGCACGUUUCCUUUGGAUGUUCUAUUGGGUUGAAGGAGGGGUGCACGAAAUGUGUUCAAUUGUGAUUUGCAGCAUAUAUUUGGAUGUUCUAUUGGGUUGAUUUUACUUCUACAGAUUGCACUUGUACCAUUGUGGUUGAGUGUUGUAUUGCCUAAUCCCUUUGUGUGUCCUGUUGGGUAAAUGGUCAUGUGGAAGGAACUUCUUGUUUUUGACUGUCAAUUUGAAAGUAAAGAGUAUAUGUUUCAUUUUAGUAUUUUGUAUAAUGUAUUUGAUUCAAUAUGUUUGUAAUAUGUGUGUACUGAUUUAAUUAAAUAUGUAUUUGUGUAUGAA